AUAAAAACGUGACACCGUAUUUAACCCAUUUCAUUUCAGAAUAGUAUCUGUCGAGUUAAGAAAAUAAAUACAUAAAUAUUAACAAAUAGAGAUUAAAAAAAAAACAAAAAAAAAAAAUACAAAAAACAAACAAAAAACACUUUUGUUUUUUUUCCCCAAGAGACUUGACACAGGAAAAUAUUUUGGGGGAAAAAAAAAUCAUUGGAAUACAUCAGCAUUUAAUUCACAUGAAGCAAUUUAAAAUGAAU